rnacentral:rRNA from 1 species
CUAAGUUUGAUGGCGACCGGCGCACGGGUGAGUAACACGUAUCCAACCUGCCGAUGACUCGGGGAUAGCCUUUCGAAAGAAAGAUUAAUACCCGAUGGCAUAGUUCUUCCGCAUGGUGGAACUAUUAAAGAAUUUCGGUCAUCGAUGGGGAUGCGUUCCAUUAGGUUGUUGGCGGGGUAACGGCCCACCAAGCCUUCGAUGGAUAGGGGGUUCUGAGAGGAAGGUCCCCCACAUUGGAACUGAGACACGGUCCAAACUCCUACGGGAGGCAGCAUG